rnacentral:rRNA from 1 species
GACGAACGCUGGCGGCGUGCUUAGCACAUGCAAGUCGAACGGAGAAUUUUACUUCGGUGAAAUUCUUAGUGGCGAACGGGUGAGUAACGCGUAGACAACCUGCCUCUUAGAUGGGGACAACAUCGCGAAAGCGGUGCUAAUACCGAAUGAAGUGGAGCUUCCGCAUGGAAGCAUCACCAAAGGUGGCCUCUAUUUAUAAGCUACCACUGAGAGAUGGGUCUGCGUCUGAUUAGCUAGUUGGCGGGGUAAUGGCCCACCAAGGCGACGAUCAGUAGCCGGUCUGAGAGGAUGAACGGCCACAUUGGGACUGAGACACGGCCCAAACUCCUACGGGAGGCAGCAGUGGGGAAUCUUCCGCAAUGGACGAAAGUCUGACGGAGCAACGCCGCGUGAGUGAUGAAGGCUUCCGGGUCGUAAAACUCUGUUGUUAGGGAAGAACAAGUACGAGAGUAACUGCUCGUACCUUGACGGUACCUAACCAGAAAGCCACGGCUAACUACGUGCCAGCAGCCGCGGUAA